rnacentral:rRNA from 1 species
GUGCCAGCAGCCGCGGUAAUACGAAGGGGGCUAGCGUUGUUCGGAAUUACUGGGCGUAAAGCGCGCGCAGGCGGCCAUUCAAGUCAGGGGUGAAAGCCCGGAGCUCAACUCCGGAACUGCCUCUGAAACUGUUUGGCUUGAGUACGGUAGAGGUGAGUGGAAUUCCCAGUGUAGGGGUGAAAUUCGUAGAUAUUGGGAAGAACACCGGUGGCGAAGGCGGCUCACUGGACCGUUACUGACGCUCAGGCGCGACAGCGUGGGGAGCAGACAGGAUUAGAAACCCCGGUAGUCC